rnacentral:rRNA from 1 species
UGGGGAAUCUUAGACAAUGGGGGAAACCCUGAUCUAGCCAUGCCGCGUGAGUGAUGAAGGCCCUAGGGUCGUAAAGCUCUUUCGCUGGGGAAGAUAAUGACGGUACCCAGUAAAGAAACCCCGGCUAACUCCGUGCCAGCAGCCGCGGUAAUACGGAGGGGGUUAGCGUUGUUCGGAAUUACUGGGCGUAAAGCGCGCGUAGGCGGAUUGUUAAGUCGGGGGUGAAAUCCCGGGGCUCAACCCCGGAACUGCCUCCGAUACUGGCAGUCUUGAGUUCGAGAGAGGUGAGUGGAAUUCCGAGUGUAGAGGUGAAAUUCGUAGAUAUUCGGAGGAACACCAGUGGCGAAGGCGGCUCACUGGCUCGAUACUGACGCUGAGGUGCGAAAGCGUGGGGAGCAAACA